UCGUUGUCUGUUCGGUGGCAG
rnacentral:miRNA from 1 species